rnacentral:lncRNA from 1 species
AUUCACUUCAGGCAGUACGAAAUCUGAUAUUUUUCGCCGAAGCCCUCUGAAUAUCCUUUUGAGCUCAAAUUUGACAGUCAUGCUCGGUUUUGUAUAACUUAACGAAAAAAAUUUUAAUCUUUCGGUUUCGACCUCGUUUGGUCACCGAAAGCUGUACCGAACUGUAAUCUUUAUCAGAUAACUGUCGGAUUUAUUUUUCACCUUCCGGAUGUUAGAAUGACAUGAAACUUUAAAUCUAGCCUCAUAAAAAUAAUUCUGACAUACUCCCAAAUUUUCGGAAUUUUCUGAUACUGUGCAUUUUCUGCUAAAAUAACAGCCCUGAUUCACACAGAAAAUUCAAAAUCUUUUGUUCUCGCUCCGAUUUCCGCACGAGCUGUUCCCGACUUAUAUUUUACUUCUAUAAGUCCAAUAAAAAUAGUAUCUCACACUAUUUUUAUUUAUUUUUAUCCUUAUUUAAAAUCUGAUAUGCUACAUCAUCAAUCCGCUUCGAUCCUUCAAGACUCCGACUCACUUUACGAAACUUGCCAAUACAAAGUUCUUAACAAUCUCCCCCUUU